AGAAAAAAAAAAAUCCCACCCCGAUCCAAAUCCCUCACCGGCCGGCGUCGGUGGGGUGGUGACCUCAGCUUCCCCGACGGAGCGGCGGCCGCGGGGGGGAGGGAUGAUGGUUUCGGUAACGCACCCAAUGAAGCAAAAGCCGCGCGGCGGAGCUGCAACGGUCGGAGUCGCCGGCAGGUCGGGAUUCCCCUAGCAGAAACUAUGAGGUAGUGACAGUUGCAAGCCUGCAAUGACUAUAUCCUGAUCUUUCAACAACGACGAAUAUGAUAAUCAUCUGAAGCAAAGGCCAUCUGAGCAGAUGAGCAUCAUCAGAGUUAUGCAGUUGUAAAUCAGAAGAGCAUCACCUGCAAUUUAAAUGCCGAACACGGAUAAGAUGCGAGGUACCAAAUAGGAUGUAAAAUAGACAAUGUGAUCAGGAAGCACACCAUUUGCGUGGCCCGACAUUUAGCAUCUUACCCGCAAAUUCAUCCUAUUCUAUGCUUAUGUGCAUUCUACAUGUAUUUAUUUUCUAUUGUGGCUAGUUGUGGAAAAUGUGAUCAUGGCGUACGUUGUGAUGUUAGUAUGUCGAAACAUACGAGGCUUGUGUUGUGGUGUUAGUAUGUAGAAAUAUGAGGCGUAUGCUGUGAUGUUAGUAUUUCGAAAUAUACAAGUCAGUAAUUUGUAUUGAA